rnacentral:rRNA from 1 species
UACGAAGGGAGCUAGCGUUGUUCGGAAUUACUGGGCGUAAAGAGCGUGUAGGCGGCUUAGAAAGUUAAAAGUGAAAUCCCAGGGCUUAACCCUGGAACAGCUUUUAAAACUCCUAAGCUAGAGAUCGAUAGAGGAUGGUGGAAUUCCUAGUGUAGAGGUGAAAUUCUUAGAUAUUAGGAGGAAUAUCAAUGGCGAAGGCAGCCAUCUGGGUCAGAUCUGACGCUGAGACGCGAAAGCGUGGGGAGCAAACAGG